UAUUUCCCCACAAAAGUAUUACUGUCAACAGAAAAAAAAAAAAAAAGCACAACAUGAGAGUUGUGAGUUAAGUUUUAUUUGGAGCAAAAUGAGGACUACAGCCCAAUAGAUGACAUCUCAGAUAGCUCUGAGGAACUUCUCCGAAGAGGUGGGGGGAUGGUCAGUGUUAUAUAUGGUUUUAGUG